rnacentral:rRNA from 1 species
CUACGGAGGGGGCUAGCGUUGUUCGGAAUUACUGGGCGUAAAGCGUACGUAGGCGGACUGAUCAGUUGGGGGUGAAAUCCCAGGGCUUAACCCUGGAACUGCCUUCAAUACUGUCAGUCUUGAGUUUGGGAGAGGUGAGUGGAAUUCCUAGUGUAGAGGUGAAAUUCAUAGAUAUUAGGAGGAACACCAGUGGCGAAGGCGGCUCACUGGCCCAUUACUGACGCUGAGGUACGAAAGCGUGGGGAGCAAACAGGAUUAGAAACCCGUGUAGUCC